AAUGAACGCUGGCGGCGUGCCUAACACAUGCAAGUCGAACGAGAAAUUCUGGCUUCGGCUGGAAGAGUAAAGUGGCGAACGGGUGAGUAACGCGUGGGUAAUCUGCCCCUGAAUCGGGGAUAACAUCGCGAAAGCGUUGCUAAUACCGGAUAUUGUCCUGAGAACUCCGGUUUUCUGGAUGAAAGGUAACCUCUUCAUGAAAGUUGCCGUUCAGGGAAGGGCCCGCGUACCAUUAGCUAGUUGGUAGGGUAAUGGCCUACCAAGGCUAUGAUGGUUAGCUGGUCUGAGAGGAUGACCAGCCACACUGGAACUGAAACACGGUCCAGACUCCUACGGGUGGCAG
rnacentral:rRNA from 1 species